rnacentral:misc_RNA from 1 species
GAUGAAGAACGUAGUGAAAUGCGAUACGUAAUGUGAAUUGCAAAUUCAGUGAAUCAUCGAGUCUUUGAACGCACAUUGCGCCCCCUGGUAUUCCGGGGGGCAUGCCUGUCCGAGCGUCAUUGCUGCCCUCAAGCACGGCUUGUGUGUUGGGCCCCGUCCUCCGAUCCCGGGGGACGGGCCCGAAAGGCAGCGGCGGCACCGCGUCCGGUCCUCGAGCGCAUGGGGCUUUGUCACCCGCUCUGUAGGCCCGGCCGGCGCUUGCCGAUCAACCCAAAUUUUUAUCCAGGUUGACCUCGGAUCAGGUAGGGAUACCCGCUGAACUUAAGCAUAUCAAUAAGCGGAGGA